rnacentral:rRNA from 1 species
AAGGAUCAUUACACUCAGUAGUUUACUACUGUUAAAGAGGCUGUUAGUCUGUAUAGCUUUACCGCUGAUGAGCAGCUGGCCUCUUUUCUCCACCCUUGUCUUUUGCGCACCCAUGUUUCCUCGGCAGGCUUGCCUGUCGGCUGGACAAUACAACAACCUUUUUAAUUUUCAAUCAGCGUCUGAAAAAAACUUAAUAAUUACAACUUUCAACAACGGAUCUCUUGGUUCUGGCAUCGAUGAAGAACGCAGCGAAAUGCGAUAAGUAAUGUGAAUUGCAGAAUUCAGUGAAUCAUCGAAUCUUUGAACGCAUAUUGCACCUUUGAGUAUUCUCUGAGGUAUACCUGUUUGAGCGUCGUUUAACACUAUAAAGCUUUGCUUUUUUUUAGAAUUUGGUUAGAAAUAUCCAAUUUCUCAAACAAAGUGGCGUCAUUUUUUUGUCGAUAUACAGUGAAAAUGUGUACUUGAUAACGAAAUGAUCAUUUCGCCCAUCUCAUUAAAUUUGUUCGACCUCAAAUCAAGUAAGACUACCCGCUGAACUUAAG